rnacentral:rRNA from 1 species
GACGAACUUUGGCGGCGUGCUUAACACAUGCAAGUCGAACGGAAAGGCCCUGCUUUUGUGGGGUGCUCGAGUGGCGAACGGGUGAGUAACACGUGAGUAACCUGCCCUUGACUUUGGGAUAACUUCAGGAAACUGGGGCUAAUACCGGAUAGGAGCUCCUGCUGCAUGGUGGGGGUUGGAAAGUUUCGGCGGUUGGGGAUGGACUCGCGGCUUAUCAGCUUGUUGGUGGGGUAGUGGCUUACCAAGGCUUUGACGGGUAGCCGGCCUGAGAGGGUGACCGGCCACAUUGGGACUGAGAUACGGCCCAGACUCCUACGGGAGGCAGCAGUGGGGAAUAUCGCACAAUGGGCGGAAGCCUGAUGCAGCAACGCCGCGUGCGGGAUGACGGCCUUCGGGUUGUAAACCGCUUUCGCCUGUGACGAAGCGUGAGUGACGGUAAUGGGUAAAGAAGCACCGGCUAACUACGUGCCAGCAGCCGCGGUGAUACGUAGGGUGCGAGCGUUGUCCGGAUUUAUUGGGCGUAAAGGGCUCGUAGGUGGUUGAUCGCGUCGGAAGUGUAAUCUUGGGGCUUAACCCUGAGCGUGCUUUCGAUACGGGUUGACUUGAGGAAGGUAGGGGAGAAUGGAAUUCCUGGUGGAGCGGUGGAAUGCGCAGAUAUCAGGAGGAACACCAGUGGCGAAGGCGGUUCUCUGGGCCUUUCCUGACGCUGAGGAGCGAAAGCGUGGGGAGCGAACAGGCUUAGAUACCCUGGUAGUCCACGCUGUAAACGGUGGGUACUAGGUGUGGGGUCCAUUCCACGGGUUCCGUGCCGUAGCUAACGCUUUAAGUACCCCGCCUGGGGAGUACGGCCGCAAGGCUAAAACUCAAAGGAAUUGACGGGGCCCCGCACAAGCGGCGGAGCAUGCGGAUUAAUUCGAUGCAACGCGUAGAACCUUACCUGGGUUUGACAUGGAUCGGGAGUGCUCAGAGAUGGGUGUGCCUCUUUUGGGGUCGGUUCACAGGUGGUGCAUGCCUGUCGUCAACUCGUGUCGUGAGAUGUUGGGUUAAGUCCCGCAACGAGCGCAACCCUUGUUCACUGUUGCCAGCACGUUAUGGUGGGGACUCAGUGGAGACCGCCGGGGUCAACUCGGAGGAAGGUGGGGAUGACGUCAAGUCAUCAUGCCCCUUAUGUCCAGGGCUUCACGCAUGCUACAAUGGCUGGUACAGAGAGUGGCGAGCCUGUGAGGGUGAGCGAAUCUCGGAAAGCCGGUCUCAGUUCGGAUUGGGGUCUGCAACUCGACCUCAUGAAGUCGGAGUCGCUAGUAAUCGCAGAUCAGCAACGCUGCGGUGAAUACGUUCCCGGGGCU